rnacentral:rRNA from 1 species
GUCGAACGGACUCAUAUUGAAACCUAGUGAUGUAUGAGUUAGUGGCGGACGGGUGAGUAACGCGUGGAGAACCUGCCGUAUACUGGGGGAUAACACUUAGAAAUAGGUGCUAAUACCGCAUAAGCGCACAGCUUCGCAUGAAGCAGUGUGAAAAACUCCGGUGGUAUACGAUGGAUCCGCGUCUGAUUAGCUUGUUGGCGGGGUAAAGGCCCACCAAGGCGACGAUCAGUAGCCGGCCUGAGAGGGUGACCGGCCACAUUGGGACUGAGACACGGCCCAAACUCCUACGGGAGGCAGCAGUGGGGGAUAUUGGACAAUGGGGGAAACCCUGAUCCAGCGACGCCGCGUGAGUGAAGAAGUAUUUCGGUAUGUAAAGCUCUGUCAGCAGGGAAGAAAGAAAUGACGGUACCUGACCAAGAAGCCCCGGCUAACUACGUGCCAGCAGCCGCGGUAAUACGUAGGGGGCAAGCGUUAUCCGGAAUUACUGGGUGUAAAGGGAGCGUAGACGGUGAUGCAAGUCUGGAGUGAAAGGCGGGGGCCCAACCCCCGGACUGCUCUGGAAACUGUAUGACUUGAGUGCAGGAGAGGUAAGCGGAAUUCCUAGUGUAGCGGUGAAAUGCGUAGAUAUUAGGAGGAACACCAGUGGCGAAGGCGGCUUACUGGACUGUAACUGACGUUGAGGCUCGAAAGCGUGGGGAGCAAACAGGAUUAGAUACCCUGGUAGUCCACGCCGUAAACGAUGAUUACUAGGUGUCGGUGGGUAUGGACCCAUCGGUGC